GAUGAAGAACGUAGCGAAAUGCGAUAAGUAAUGUGAAUUGCAGAAUUCAGUGAAUCAUCGAAUCUUUGAACGCACAUUGCGCCCCCUGGUAUUCCGGGGGGCAUGCCUGUCCGAGCGUCAUUACAACCCUCAAGCUCUGCUUGGUGUUGGGCCCCGCCGCCCCGGCGGGCCCUAAAGUCAGUGGCGGUGCCAUCCGGCUCCGAGCGUAGUAAUUCUUCUCGCUCUGGAGGUCCGGUUGUGUGCUUGCCAUCAACCCCCAAUUUUUUUCAGGUUGACCUCGGAUCAGGUAGGGAUAUCCGCUGAACUUAAGCAUAUCAAUAAGCGGAGGA
rnacentral:misc_RNA from 1 species